rnacentral:rRNA from 1 species
GUUGAACGCUGGCGGCAUGCCUAACACAUGCAAGUCGAGCGGAGCGGCGAACGGGUGGGUAAUGCCGAGGAAUCUGCCUGUGGGUGAGGUAUACCGUCCGGGGACGGGAGCUAAUACCGCAUACUAUCAAGUGGCCCUAGGUGGUAGUAGCUAGUUGGUGGGGUAAAGGCCUACCAAGGCGACGAUCCGUAACUGGUCUGAGAGGAUGAUCAGUCACACUGGAACUGAGACACGGUCCAGACUCCUACGGGAGGCAGCAGUGGGGAAUAUUGGACAAUGGGCGAAAGCCUGACCCAGCCAUGCCGCGUGUGUGAAGAAGGUCUUCGGAUCGUAAAGCACUGUAAGUUGGGAGGCGUUACCAACAGAAUAAGCACCGGCUAACUUCGUGCCAGCAGCCGCGGUAAUAC